UGCAUUCACUACUGUAAGUCGCUCUGGAUAAGAGCAUCUGCUAAAUGACUGAAA
rfam:Salmo salar isolate Sally breed double haploid chromosome ssa16, whole genome shotgun sequence.